GGACAGAUGGACACUGCGAGUUUCACUUGCUAUUUCUGUGGAAGCACCUCUAAAGGCUGCAAAACAGAAGCGUUUUACAUUGCAGGGUUAGAACGAACAUGGCACAUGGCAUCCAGACCACUUCAUUGAGAUUAAGUAGUCUAGGUGCCUAUAGUCUUCCUUUAAUGGGCAGACAGGUAGCAGCAGAACAGCUAAUCACAUUUUAUGUAUUAUACGAGGCUUCAUCCUUCUCAGG